rnacentral:lncRNA from 1 species
UUUACAGCAGCUGGUGAUUUUGUGCUGGCUUUAUGAAGUAUAUUGCUUUUAUUUCUACUUUUGUUUCUUCAUAGGGGUUUUUUAUGUGCUCUCUCUAUUUAUUCUUUAUGGUUUGUCUUUUAUUUUUAAAUGUUGUGUUCACUACCCAGUGCACUCUAUCGUGCUUUGCAUUUAGAACCGAAUGCAAUUAUUUUAGUAACUUUUGAAGAACAAGCUAGGAAAGAAUUAUUUUGCAAACUGUAACUGUUCAGGUAUCAUUGGGCUUAUGUAACUAAUUACUUUUAAAAGUAACUUUUAAAGCUCUAUGUAGAACGUGUGUUAUGCUUCUCUCCAAGCAGCGAUCAUUAGUGUUUGGGCUGUCAUGGGAAUCUUUUACAUCCAUUUAUCAUACCCCAUGCUGAAAGCUUAGGGUGGGUAACAAAUUAAGACUGUAAAAUGUCAAAUUAAAAUAGCUAAAAUACAACAAGUGCUAAAUCCUCUGAUCCUCUGUGAGCUUAGCUUGAAAGCUAGCACAAGAUCUCUUCAAAGCAUCAUCCCUCUCUUCCCUUUCAUGGCUCUUUAUGUUUAGAAAUAUUCAUAGAGGUUCAACGGACUAGAAUUUAGAACAGGGAAAACCACAGAUGCCAAGAAGCCAGACUGCUCGGAUUUGGCACCAAUCAGCUUCAGCCAGCUGUGUCCCCCCCCCAAAAAAAACACAAUUGGGCACCACAUUGUGGGCUGCAAGAGUAGACAUGUUUCCUGUUUUAACGCUUCUGCCUCCCAUGCAUUUUGAUGAGGCCAAGUGCUAAUUGUUUCUUCCCUCCUACAGUGGUUUCUUCCAAAUGUAAGGAAAUGUAUCAUGAAUGCAAUGAUCUGAAACAACUAGGGUUUCCAUGGGAUGCAUUAGAAAAAUAAACUGGUGCACACCCAUGACAGGUCGAUGAUUCAGGGAAGACAUGGCACACAUUCAUACAGCUUCUGCUUUAGAUGCUGUUGUGAGCAGCAUUCUUCCAAAGCCUGCUCAGAGACUAUUGGCUCUCAAAAAGAGCAUGGUGUGUCUGUAUGUGUGUGUGUUCUGUGCUGGAACCGACUUACAGAGACCAUAAUACGGCUUUCCAGGUAAGUGAAAUGUUUAAGGAAUGGUUUUACUAGUUUCACUCUACCAGUCAGUUUUUAUGGCCAUACUGGGGAUUUGAACCCUGUUUUCCAGAGUCUUAUUCCACACUGUAUCCAUUACACCACACUGAGAAUCUAUUUAUUAUUUAUUUAUUCAACUUCUAUACCGCCCAUCUAGCUACCAAGGCCACCCUGAGCAGUGCACAACAUGAUUAAACAAAGUAAAACAAUCUAAAGUAAUAUGCGUUACUAAAUGACCUAAAUAAGUAUCUACUUCUGGCUGUUGUGACUAGUAAGAUGACUUCUCCU